AUGAACGCUAGCUACAGGCUUAACACAUGCAAGUCGAGGGGAAACGACAUCGAAAGCUUGCUUUUGAUGGGCGUCGACCGGCGCACGGGUGAGUAACGCGUAUCCAACCUGCCCAUCACUUGGGAAUAACCUUGCGAAAGUAAGACUAAUACCCAAUGAUAUCCCACGAAGGCAUCGGAAUGGGAUUAAAGAUUUAUCGGUGAUGGAUGGGGAUGCGUCUGAUUAGCUUGUUGGCGGGGUAACGGCCCACCAAGGCAACGAUCAGUAGGGGUUCUGAGAGGAAGGUCCCCUACAUUGGAACUGAGACACGGUCCAAACUCCUACGGGAGGCAGCAGUGAGGAAUAUUGGUCAAUGGGCGAGAGCCUGAACCAGCCAAGUAGCGUGCAGGAAGACGGCCCUAUGGGUUGUAAACUGCUUUUAUAAGGGAAUAAAGUGGGUCACGUGUGACUUUUUGCAUGUACCUUAUGAAUAAGGACCGGCUAAUUCCGUG
rnacentral:rRNA from 1 species